rnacentral:rRNA from 1 species
GACGAACGCUGGCGGCGUGCUUAACACAUGCAAGUCGAGCGGAAAGGCCCUGCUUUUGUGGGGUGCUCGAGUGGCGAACGGGUGAGUAACACGUGAGUAACCUGCCCUUGACUUUGGGAUAACUUCAGGAAACUGGGGCUAAUACCGGAUAGGAGCUCCUGCUGCAUGGUGGGGGUUGGAAAGUUUCGGCGGUUGGGGAUGGACUCGCGGCUUAUCAGCUUGUUGGUGGGGUAGUGGCUUACCAAGGCUUUGACGGGUAGCCGGCCUGAGAGGGUGACCGGCCACAUUAGGACUGAGAUACGGCCCGGACUCCUACGGGAGGCAGCAGUGGGGAAUAUUGCACAAUGGGCGGAAGCCUGAUGCAGCAACGCCGCGUGCGGGAUGACGGCCUUCGGGUUGUAAACCGCUUUCGCCUGUGACGAAGCGUGAGUGACGGUAAUGGGUAAAGAAGCACCGGCUAACUACGUGCCAGCAGCCGCGGUAACAC